UACGUAGGGGCCGAGCGUUGUCCGGAGUUAUUGGGCGUAAAGCGCGCGCAGGCGGCCUCGCGCGCCCGACGUGAAAGCCCCCGGCUUAACCGGGGAGGGUCGUUGGGGACGGCGGGGCUUGAGGGCGGGAGAGGUCGGUGGAAUUCCCGGUGUAGUGGUGAAAUGCGUAGAGAUCGGGAGGAACACCUGUGGCGAAGGCGGCCGACUGGGCCGACCCGUGACGCUG
rnacentral:rRNA from 1 species